rnacentral:rRNA from 1 species
GACAGAGGAUGCAAGCGUUAUCCGGAAUGAUUGGGCGUAAAGCGUCUGUAGGUGGCUUUUAAGUCCGCCGUCAAAUCCAGGCUCAACCCUGGACAGGCGGUGGAAACUACCAAGCUGGAGUACGGUAGGGCAGAGGGAAUUUCCGGUGGAGCGGUGAAAUGCGUAGAGAUCGGAAAGAACACCAACGGCGAAAGCACUCUGCUGGGCCGACACUGACACUGAGAGACGAAAGCUAGGGGAGCGAAUGGG